rnacentral:rRNA from 1 species
GAGACAGCAGUAGCCGCGGUAAUACGUAGGUCCCGAGCGUUGUCCGGAUUUGUUGGGCGUAAAGCGAGCGCAGGCGGUUAGAUAAGUCUGAAGUUAAAGGCUGUGGCUUAACCAUAGUACGCUUUGGAAACUGUUUAACUUGAGUGCAAUAGGGGAGAGUGGAAUUCCAUGUGUAGCGGUGAAAUGCGUAGAUAUAUGGAGGAACACCGGUGGCGAAAGCGGCUCUCUGGCUUGUAACUGACGCUGAGGCUCGAAAGCGUGGGGCGCAAACAGGAUUAGAUACCCCCGUAGUCCCUGUCUCUUAUACC